rnacentral:lncRNA from 1 species
AUGAUAGGAUUGUCAUCGUUAACGUCAAUAACAUCACAUCACAUCACCAGUGAAUCCCAGGAUGCCUUGGAGUCAGAGAACCAGAGGCUGCACGAAUGCUGCCUGACCUUGGAGGCGGAGCUCCUGGAAAAGGAGGAGGGGCUGUGUCAGAAGGGGGAGGAGCUGCAGCGGUUGGAGGCUGAGUCGGCUCAGAACAUGGAGGAGCUGAGGGGUGUGGCCUCACACUGGAGCGAGAAGUGGCAGGAUGUGGCUAUGGCAUUACAAUCCACCCAGGCAGAACUAGAGGAACUCAGAGAGAAGAACCCUGGAGAUACACUUCAAGAGGAGGUGGUACGGCUGAAGGUGGAGGUUGAGAGACUUCAGACACAGGGACAGAGAGACAAGGAAGAGAUUCAGACUCUUCAUCAGCACUGGGCCAGUAAAGAGGCGGAGCUGAGCAGAGUCAUUAAAGAUGCCGGUUCUCUGCUGAAGGUAGAGCUGAACGCUUGUAAACAACAGUUGGAGCUGGAGAGGAGCCGGACUCGGGCUCUACACAACAGACUCAAAGUUAAAGACAACCCUCAUAUCUUGGGUAGGGGAAUGGUAGAAACGUUUGAUAAAGGGACAGAGACAGAUAUACUACCACAGACACGGGAUGAACAGGUCUCGCUGGAGGAGCUGGGCCAGGUGAGGGAAGAGCUACUGAUGGUCUCCCUGGAGGAGGUGGAUGGGGGCCAGGUGUCACAGCUAAAUAGUGAACUUCAGAGGCUGGAGCUGGAAGUGGCAGAGAGAGAAGAGCACCUGAGGGAGAAGGAACAUGCUCUGAGGAGUCUGGAGAGACUGAGAGAUGCCGAGAGGACAGAGACGCAAAUCAAGGUUUCUACACUGGAGUUGAAGUUGAUUAACCUAAAGGAGCAGGCCGGUGGAGAAGGCCUAUGUCAUGGAGGCCAAGAACAAGCUCAGCACACUGACUCACUGAGGUCUCAGCUAGAGGAGAGCAGGAGGAGAGCCAAUCAGCUGCAACAGGAGAGAGACCAGGCAGUUCAGAGGCUACAGACUCUCCGCCGGCUAUAUCAGGCUACGGAACAGAAAGCAGCUGCUGGCAGCAAGAAAGAGAAAACGGUUUGUGUGGAUAACAUAGUGAACCAGGAUAAACAGAGAAGACUGGUAACAGAACAGCUGAAGAGUCUAUUUAAGGAGCGUGAGCAGUUGGGUCAGGUCUAUGGAGGAGGAGGAGGAGGAGGAGUUCUGCAAGACUGGGCACCGAAGUCGAAGGUCAUCAAGAACUGCCUUGACACACUACACAGCCAGAGGAAGAGAGAGAAGGAGCUGAUGAGGGAGCAGCAGCAGUUUGCAGGACUGGGGCCUGUGUCUGAGGAGCAAGAAGAGGAGGACGACCCAGAGAGGGAGGUGGAGGAGGAGGUGACUCGCCUUAGGGAGGAACUCCACAGCAAGACCCACGCGAGGUUCUGGUUGGACGGUGUGCCAGCAUUGGAGUCAGGGUCGGAGGGGUUUGAAACAGUCUGGAAGAUUGUGAAUGGUGAGAGCGAGGAUUACACCACAAUGUCAAUGAAAAAAGGGAUGAUCUCCUGUCGCAUUCAUUCAGAUCCUGUGAGACACAAUUUAAUCUACAAACCUUAA